UAAGGAAUAUUGGUCAAUGGGCGCAAGCCUGAACCAGCCAUGCCGCGUGCAGGAAGACGGCCCUAUGGGUUGUAAACUGCUUUUAUCAGGGAAUAAACCCCCGCUCGUGAGCGGGGCUGAAGGUACCUGAAGAAUAAGCAUCGGCUAACUCCGUGCCAGCAGCCGCGGUAAUACGGAGGAUGCAAGCGUUAUCCGGAUUCAUUGGGUUUAAAGGGUGCGCAGGCGGAUUGGUAAGUCAGGGGUGAAAUCCCACAGCUCAACUGUGGAACUGCCUUUGAUACUGUCAGUCUAGAGUAUAGUUGAAGUGGGCGGAAUGUGUCAUGUAGCGGUGAAAUGCUUAGAUAUGACACAGAACACCGAUCGCGAAGGCAGCUCGCUAAGCUAUAACUGACGCUCAUGCACGAAAGCGUGGGGAUCAAACAGGAUUAGAUACCCUGGUAGUCCACGCUGUAAACGAUGAUUACUCGAUGUUGGCGAUACACAGUCAGCGUCUGAGCGAAAGCAAUAAGUAAUCCACCUGGGGAGUACGAUCGCAAGAUUG
rnacentral:rRNA from 1 species